CUAAGAAUAUUCCGCAAUGGACGAAAGUCUGACGGAGCGACGCCGCGUGGAUGAAGAAGGCCGGAAGGUUGUAAAGUUCUUUUAAGCAUGAAGAAGGAUUAUUGCAGGAAAUGGCAGUAAAGUGACGGUAGUGCUUGAAUAAGGACCGGCUAAUUCCGUGCCAGCAGCCGCGGUAAUACGGAAGGUCCGGGCGUUAUCCGGAUUUAUUGGGUUUAAAGGGAGCGUAGGCCGUCUUAUAAGCGUGUUGUGAAAUGUCGUGGCUCAACCUGGGCAUUGCAGCGCGAACUGUGAGACUUGAGUGCGCAGGAAGUAGGCGGAAUUCGUCGUGUAGCGGUGAAAUGCUUAGAUAUGACGAAGAACUCCGAUUGCGAAGGCAGCCUGCUGUAGCGCAACUGACGCUGAAGCUCGAAAGCGUGGGUAUCGAACAGGAUUA
rnacentral:rRNA from 1 species